rnacentral:rRNA from 1 species
AUACGUAGGGAGCAAGCGUUGUCCGGAAUUACUGGGCGUAAAGGGCGCGUAGGCGGGUAUUUAAGUCAGGUGUGAAAACUCCGAGCUCAACUUGGAGAUUGCACUUGAAACUGGGUAUCUUGAGGGCAGGAGAGGAAAGUGGAAUUCCUAGUGUAGCGGUGAAAUGCGUAGAUAUUAGGAGGAACACCAGUGGCGAAGGCGACUUUCUGGACUGUACCUGACGCUGAGGCGCGAAAGCGUGGGUAGCGAACGGGAUUAGAUACCCCGGUAGUCCACGCUGUAAACGAUGAAUACUAGGUGUAGGAGGUAUCGACCCCUUCUGUGCCGCAGUUAACACAAUAAGUAUUCCGCCUGGGGAGUACGAUCGCAAGAUUGAAACUCAAAGGAAUUGACGGGG